rnacentral:rRNA from 1 species
CCUACGGGAGGCAGCAGUGAGGAAUAUUGGUCAAUGGACGAGAGUCUGAACCAGCCAAGUAGCGUGAAGGAUGACUGCCCUAUGGGUUGUAAACUUCUUUUAUAUGGGAAUAAAAUGUUCCACGUGUGGGUUUUUGUAUGUACCGUAUGAAUAAGGAUCGGCUAACUCCGUGCCAGCAGCCGCGGUAAUACGGAGGAUCCGAGCGUUAUCCGGAUUUAUUGGGUUUAAAGGGAGCGUAGGUGGUUUGUUAAGUCAGUUGUGAAAGUUUGCGGCUCAACCGUAAAAUUGCAGUUGAGACUGGCCGGCUUGAGAACAGUAGAGGUAGGCGGAAUUCGUGGGGUAGCGGUGAAAUGCUUAGAUAUCACGCAGAACUCCGAUUGCGAAGGCAGCUCACUGGACUGCAACUGACACUGAGGCUCGAAAGUGUGGGUAUCAAACAGGAUUAGAUACCCCAGUAGUC